rnacentral:rRNA from 1 species
UGGGGAAUUUUGGACAAUGGGCGAAAGCCUGAUCCAGCAAUGCCGCGUGUGUGAAGAAGGCCUUCGGGUUGUAAAGCACUUUUGUCCGGAAAGAAAUCCUUGGCUCUAAUACAGUCGGGGGAUGACGGUACCGGAAGAAUAAGCACCGGCUAACUACGUGCCAGCAGCCGCGGUAAUACGUAGGGUGCAAGCGUUAAUCGGAAUUACUGGGCGUAAAGCGUGCGCAGGCGGUUUGCUAAGACCCGAUGUGAAAUCCCCGGGCUCAACCUGGGAACUGCAUUGGUGACUGGCAGGCUAGAGUAUGGCAGAGGGGGGUAGAAUUCCACGUGUAGCAGUGAAAUGCGUAGAGAUGUGGAGGAAUACCGAUGGCGAAGGCAGCCCCCCUGGGCCAAUACUGACGCUCAUGCACGAAAGCGUGGGGAGCAAACAGGAUUAGAUACCCUGGUAGUCCACGCCCUAAACGAUGUCAACUAGUUGUUGGGGAUUCAUUUUCCUUAGUAACGUAGCUAACGCGUGAAGUUGACCGCCUGGGGAGUACGGUCGCAAGAUUAAAACUCAAUGAAUUGACGGGGUCAUAGCUGUUUCCU